ACCCAUUUCACAAAUUCUCCGUUUCUUCUUCCCUUUUUCUGCAAACCCAUCUUCCAAGAUUUCACCUUUAUCAUCUUCAACCCCAAAACAGGGCAACCCAGAAACCACAUCUUCAGUACUCCUGGUGGUCUUCUUUAUAUGAUCAAACUCACAGGUUCUGGUUUAUGUCAUUGGAAGUAAUUAGUAAAAGGGUGUCCGGAAAAUCAAGAAUCUUCAGCUGAUUACUCCGCAAAGAAGUCUUUUGGAUUUUAUAAGGUUGAGGCGGUGGCCGGCGAAGUUUGGGUUUUACC
rnacentral:lncRNA from 1 species